ACUAAGCGUACACGGUGGAUGCCCUGGCAGUCAGAGGCGAUGAAGGACGUGCUAAUCUGCGAAAAGCGUCGGUAAGGUGAUAUGAACCGUUACAGCCGGCGAUGUCCGAAUGGGGAAACCCAGUGCAAUUCGUUGCACUAUCGUUAACUGAAUACAUAGGUUAACGAGGCGAACCGGGGGAACUGAAACAUCUAAGUACCCCGAGGAAAAGAAAUCAACCGAGAUUCCCCCAGUAGCGGCGAGCGAACGGGGAGCAGCCCAGAGUCUGAAUCAGCUUGUGUGUUAGUGGAACGGUCUGGAAAGUCCGACGGUACAGGGUGAUAGUCCCGUACACCAAAAUGCACAGGUUGUGAACUCGAAGAGUAGGGCGGGACACGUGGUAUCCUGUCUGAAUAUGGGGGGACCAUCCUCCAAGGCUAAAUACUCCUGACUGACCGAUAGUGAACCAGUACCGUGAGGGAAAGGCGAAAAGAACCCCGGCGAGGGGAGUGAAAAAGAACCUGAAACCGUGUACGUACAAGCAGUGGGAGCACCUUCGGGUGUGACUGCGUACCUUUUGUAUAAUGGGUCAGCGACUUAUAUUCUGUAGCAAGGUUAACCGUAUAGGGGAGCCGCAGGGAAACCGAGUCUUAACUGGGCGUUAAGUUGCAGGGUAUAGACCCGAAACCCGGUGAUCUAGCCAUGGGCAGGUUGAAGGUUGGGUAACACUAACUGGAGGACCGAACCGACUAAUGUUGAAAAAUUAGCGGAUGACUUGUGGCUGGGGGUGAAAGGCCAAUCAAACCGGGAGAUAGCUGGUUCUCCCCGAAAGCUAUUUAGGUAGCGCCUCGUGAACUCAUCUUCGGGGGUAGAGCACUGUUUCGGCUAGGGGGUCAUCCCGACUUACCAACCCGAUGCAAACUACGAAUACCGAAGAAUGUUAUCACGGGAGACACACGGCGGGUGCUAACGUCCGUCGUGAAGAGGGAAACAACCCAGACCGCCAGCUAAGGUCCCAAAGUCAUGGUUAAGUGGGAAACGAUGUGGGAAGGCACAGACAGCCAGGAUGUUGGCUUAGAAGCAGCCAUCAUUUAAAGAAAGCGUAAUAGCUCACUGGUCGAGUCGGCCUGCGCGGAAGAUGUAACGGGGCUAAACCAUGCACCGAAGCUGCGGCAGCGACACUAUGUGUUGUUGGGUAGGGGAGCGUUCUGUAAGCCUGCGAAGGUGUGCUGUGAGGCAUGCUGGAGGUAUCAGAAGUGCGAAUGCUGACAUAAGUAACGAUAAAGCGGGUGAAAAGCCCGCUCGCCGGAAGACCAAGGGUUCCUGUCCAACGUUAAUCGGGGCAGGGUGAGUCGACCCCUAAGGCGAGGCCGAAAGGCGUAGUCGAUGGGAAACAGGUUAAUAUUCCUGUACUUGGUGUUACUGCGAAGGGGGGACGGAGAAGGCUAUGUUAGCCGGGCGACGGUUGUCCCGGUUUAAGCAUGUAGGCUGAUUGUCCAGGCAAAUCCGGAUAAUCAAGGCUGAGGUGUGAUGACGAGGCACUACGGUGCUGAAGUAACAAAUGCCCUGCUUCCAGGAAAAGCCUCUAAGCAUCAGGUAACAUCAAAUCGUACCCCAAACCGACACAGGUGGUCAGGUAGAGAAUACCAAGGCGCUUGAGAGAACUCGGGUGAAGGAACUAGGCAAAAUGGUGCCGUAACUUCGGGAGAAGGCACGCUGGUGUGUAGGUGAAGUCCCUGCGGAUGGAGCUGAGACCAGUCGAAGAUACCAGCUGGCUGCAACUGUUUAUUAAAAACACAGCACUGUGCAAACACGAAAGUGGACGUAUACGGUGUGACGCCUGCCCGGUGCCGGAAGGUUAAUUGAUGGGGUUAUCCGUAAGGAGAAGCUCUUGAUCGAAGCCCCGGUAAACGGCGGCCGUAACUAUAACGGUCCUAAGGUAGCGAAAUUCCUUGUCGGGUAAGUUCCGACCUGCACGAAUGGCGUAAUGAUGGCCAGGCUGUCUCCACCCGAGACUCAGUGAAAUUGAACUCGCUGUGAAGAUGCAGUGUACCCGCGGCAAGACGGAAAGACCCCGUGAACCUUUACUAUAGCUUGACACUGAACAUUGAGCCUUGAUGUGUAGGAUAGGUGGGAGGCUUUGAAGCGUGGACGCCAGUCUGCGUGGAGCCAACCUUGAAAUACCACCCUUUAAUGUUUGAUGUUCUAACGUUGGCCCCUGACCGGGGUUGCGGACAGUGUCUGGUGGGUAGUUUGACUGGGGCGGUCUCCUCCCAAAGCGUAACGGAGGAGCACGAAGGUUAGCUAAUCCUGGUCGGACAUCAGGAGGUUAGUGCAAUGGCAUAAGCUAGCUUGACUGCGAGCGUGACGGCGCGAGCAGGUGCGAAAGCAGGUCAUAGUGAUCCGGUGGUUCUGAAUGGAAGGGCCAUCGCUCAACGGAUAAAAGGUACUCCGGGGAUAACAGGCUGAUACCGCCCAAGAGUUCAUAUCGACGGCGGUGUUUGGCACCUCGAUGUCGGCUCAUCACAUCCUGGGGCUGAAGUAGGUCCCAAGGGUAUGGCUGUUCGCCAUUUAAAGUGGUACGCGAGCUGGGUUUAGAACGUCGUGAGACAGUUCGGUCCCUAUCUGCCGUGGGCGCUGGAGAAUUGAGGGGGGCUGCUCCUAGUACGAGAGGACCGGAGUGGACGCAUCACUGGUGUUCGGGUUGUCAUGCCAAUGGCACUGCCCGGUAGCUAAAUGCGGAAGAGAUAAGUGCUGAAAGCAUCUAAGCACGAAACUUGCCCCGAGAUGAGUUCUCCCUGAGACUUUAAGUCUCCUGAAGGAACGUUAAAGACGAUGACGUUGAUAGGCCGGGUGUGUAAGCGCAGCGAUGCGUUGAGCUAACCGGUACUAAUGAACCGUGAGGCUUAACC
rnacentral:rRNA from 1 species